AACGCUGCGGAGCCUGGACUCGCGGUCUGGUCCGCGCCUCUCGGAGACGCGGUUACUACUCUCCGGCUGGAUAUCAGAGCGUGGACCUUUCGCUUUCUCAGUGAAUCCCUUUCAAAACAGAAUAAAGCCUCGCGUCACCUAAGCAUACUCCUGAAAACUUAGGUUGGAAUUGAAAAAGAGGCGGGGGCCCGGGGUUGGAAGUCGCAGCUAGGUUUCCUUUUGGCCAUUAAUAGGAAGCUAUUGAAAUAUUUGAAGAAACUCUCCACCCUGCCUAUUACAGUAGACAUUCUUGCGGAGACUGGGGUUGGGAAAACAGUAAAUAGCUUGCGAAAACACGAGCAUGUUGGAAGCUUUGCCAGGGACCUAGUGGCCCAGUGGAAGAAGCUGGUUCCUGUGGAACGAAAUGCUGAGCCUGAUGAACAGGACUUUGAGAAGAGCAAUUCCCGAAAGCGCCCUCGGGAUGCCCUGCAGAAGGAGGAGGAGAUGGAGGGGGACUACCAA
rnacentral:lncRNA from 1 species